AUGGCCGAAGAAAGGAAGGCCUCGCUCAAGAAAAAGAAGGUGAAGAUCACCGCCAAUGCGGAGGAGACCAAGAUGUUGACCUUAAAUGUGGACUCUUUGGAUGCCGACACAAUAAUCAUCGUGCAAUCCGUUCGCCACCAGAUGUUGCAGAAAGAUCAGUUGGCGGCGUCGGACGCCGAGGACGCGGAGGCUGCCUACACGGCGGCGACAACACCUUGA
rnacentral:rRNA from 1 species